AUGGGAGCUUGCUCCCUGAUGUUAGCGGCGGACGGGUGAGUAACACGUGGGUAACCUGCCUGUAAGACUGGGAUAACUCCGGGAAACCGGGGCUAAUACCGGAUGGUUGUUUGAACCGCAUGGUUCAAACAUAAAAGGUGGCUUCGGCUACCACUUACAGAUGGACCCGCGGCGCAUUAGCUAGUUGGUGAGGUAACGGCUCACCAAGGCAACGAUGCGUAGCCGACCUGAGAGGGUGAUCGGCCACACUGGGACUGAGACACGGCCCAGACUCCUACGGGAGGCAGCAGUAGGGAAUCUUCCGCAAUGGACGAAAGUCUGACGGAGCAACGCCGCGUGAGUGAUGAAGGUUUUCGGAUCGUAAAGCUCUGUUGUUAGGGAAGAACAAGUACCGUUCGAAUAGGGCGGUACCUUGACGGUACCUAACCAGAAAGCCACGGCUAACUACGUGCCAGCAGCCGCGGUAAUACGUAUGUGGCAAGCGUUGUCCGGAAUUAUUGGGCGUAAAGGGCUCGCAGGCGGUUUCUUAAGUCUGAUGUGAAAGCCCCCGGCUCAACCGGGGAGGGUCAUUGGAAACUGGGGAACUUGAGUGCAGAAGAGGAGAGUGUAAUUCCACGUGUAGCGGUGAAAUGCGUAGAGAUGUGGAGGAACACCAGUGGCGAAGGCGACUCUCUGGUCUGUAACUGACGCUGAUGAGCGAAAGCGUGCGGAGCGAACAGGAUUAGAUACCCUGGUAGUCCACGCCGUAAACGAUGAGUGCUAAGUGUUACGGGUGUUUCCGCCUCCUUAGUGCUGCAGCUAACGCAUUUAAACACUCCGCCUGG
rnacentral:rRNA from 1 species